rnacentral:piRNA from 1 species
UGGCUAUAGUAGAGUAGCUCGGUUC